rnacentral:lncRNA from 1 species
UAAUGGGCUGCUGCAGCAUGCUGUGAUCAGCAGGCACUCAGCUUUUCCCAUGUCUCAGUUGCAGGUGGAACUGCUGGGACAAAAACGGAGCCAGAUUGUGAAUCUCACACAAAAGAGAAUCUGCAUGUUCCUGUUCGGGCCCAGUACUUACCAUUAUUCAUUAGAAGAGGUGCUGCCUCAUCCACCAAUUGUAAAAUAUGUAUGGUAAAAAAGGAUUGAGGAGGAAAUCUAAAACACACUGGUCCUAACUCAUAAUAAUUAGGUCCCUGUCUACACAAAUGCAUCUAGAGACAGCUUGCUGAAUUUACACCGAUCUCCAUUAAAGUUAAAGCGGUUCCAGGCAGAAGGCUGCUUGCAAAGGUAUUUCCAGGAAUAUAUAGUGUGACUUGUGACUGUAGCUGAUUUAUUUCCUUUUUUCAAAAAUAGUUGAAUACUGCAUUUUAAAAAUUGAUCUGUUAGGCUAUUUGCAUUCCUGACUCUGUAAACAGUGUCUAUAACAAAUGUGCCAAUAGUCUGGGUAGCUGAACUGGAAAAUAGGAAGUAAGGAGCCAUAACGGUAUCUUCAAAUGCAAAGUCUGGACCAGAAGUGCAGGUCAAAAAAUCAGUGCCUGUAAUGAAUUACUCUUACCCUUUUAAAGAAUGUGCAGACUGUGAGAAAAGCCACAUCACUAGAUGUGUCAGGUUUAGUGCAUUUUUAGUGUAUGUGCAUGUAUACAUGCUGGUUUCUGACUACUUGCAGAAUAUAACCAUCUGUAAGAAGGACAUGUGACAGAGUGGUAAAGGUAGUGAGAAUGAAAGUAAGAGAGUUUUCACGAUGUGAAACAGGAACAUCAAAGUGGUUGAAGAAGAGUAAAAGGUUCAGGGAGGCUUUGGCAGCUGACUGUGUGCCCAAGUCUGCUAGACUUGUAUUACAAAGUGAUUACCGCAUAGUAACUAGACCAAACACUUGAAGAACCAAGAACCAAUCCUGUAUGGAUCAAGGUAAAUAAUGAUAUUUUGAAUGAUUUGAAGAGAAGAAGUAGUGAGUCUCAGACACUUGUCUCUUUUAUUGACUUGAGCAUUAAUUGAUUUGUGAGUUAGGUUUCACGUUUCCACAUGGUGUUGCAAAAUUAUGGAGUUGAAUUAAUUAUGUGGUAAUCAGUGAAUCCUAUUAGGUGAAACAAUAUGGACUUGUUCAGGAGCUUAAACAUUAUUCAGUGUUAGUGUAG